CCCUUGGCCUUGACAUACUAAGAACUUUCCAGAGAUGGAUUGGUGCCUUCGGGAACUUAGAUACAGGUGCUGCAUGGCUGUCGUCAGCUCGUGUCGUGAGAUGUUGGGUUAAGUCCGCAACGAGCGCAACCCUUUUCCUUAUUUGCCAGCGGGUAAUGCCGGGAACUUUAAGGAUACUGCCAGUGACAAACUGGAGGAAGGCGGGGACGACGUCAAGUCAUCAUGGCCCUUACGGCCAGGGCUACACACGUGCUACAAUGGUCGGUACAAAGGGUUGCUACCUCGCGAGAGGAUGCUAAUCUCAAAAAGCCGAUCGUAGUCCGGAUCGCAGUCUGCAACUCGACUGCGUGAAGUCGGAAUCGCUAGUAAUCGCGGAUCAGAAUGCCGCGGUGAAUACGUUCCCGGGCCUUGUACACACCGCCCGUCACGCCAUGGGAGUUUGUUGCACCAGAAGUAGGUAGUCUAACCGCAAGGAGGACGCUUACCACGGUGUGGCCGAUGACUGGGGUGAAGUCGUAACAAGGUAGGCGUAGAUGA
rnacentral:rRNA from 1 species